rnacentral:lncRNA from 1 species
AUUCCCAAUGGUGAUAAAUAUUCUAAAAGAAAACAGUUUAUUAAUGGAACAAUCAUCUAUGUUAAAUGAAUGCAUGAAGAGCUUAACCAGACAACAUGUGAUAUAAGCCACAGAUCCUUUGUAUAGGUUUUUUUUAAUUUACUUGUUUAUUUUAUUGAUUUGAGAGAGAGAGAGAGAGAGAGAGAGAGAGAGAGAGAGAGAGAGAGAGAGAGAGAGAGAGAGAGAGAGAGAGAGAGAGAGAGAGAGAGCACACAAAGCUUAUAAAAUAUCUUUCUACAAAGAAUAAAGGUCUGGGAUUUUUUUGUCUAAGAAGAAAACCCAGACUUGUCCGGACUUCCUCCUUUCCAAGAUUCAUGGUAGCUCACAAGAUAAAUAAAAAACACAUAUCAAAAGUGAUAGCCACACAACUAUGUGAACUGCCAAACAUCUGUAUUCCCAGUAGAUGUGGAGGGAAUGGCCAAGUCACAAAGCAGAAAGGAAUAUUUUUUUCUCGGGCUGAAAAUGGAACAGCUGCUGAGGAAAUCCCUCCCCUUCCUGGCAGCGAUAUGUCCAUAUUUACGGAAUUGUGUUGGGGGUGUCACAUUACUACUUUAAAGCAGCGUCUGUGCAAUGGCUAGAUAAGGUUUUUUUUUCAGUUGUCCUGCUGCAGUAGCCUUGAAGCAUUAAUGGAUAAAUAAGAAUGGCCUUUUUGUUCUCUUUUUAUUUUGCUGAGGAGUGGUGUCAGUGGUGUAAAACCUUUGGUUUAGAAGCAAAGGUUACUUUGAGACCUACAUCAUGAGAAGCCAUCGUUUGUUGAAACCCACGUUGGUGUGGUUUGUGAACCUGCAUUGGCUAUAACAAGCCAUAUUUUAUUAACAAACUACAAACCGUAUUUAGGAUGAAUGUUUUUAUGUUGGUUUCUCAACUUUGCCUUGCUUUAACUAUGGCCCUAGUAUCUUCAUUCACCACCUUGGCUUGUCCCUAUCUUGUUUCCUCAGCUGCCUAUCCUGAUGCAGGAACUGACAAAAAAAAGAGAGAGUUGGAGUAAAACAAACCAGAAAGGAGGGGUGGCAAGCCCUGGUUUGUUUGGUUGUCUGCAAUGCAAUUUUCAUCUUAACUAAUUCAUGGUUAUCAAAAAGUUUGUUUGUCAUGACUUACAGAUGUGCUCUGAAGAUUAUGGUGGCUGAUUACAGCUUUUGUGACAUCACAAGGACCUGCACUUUGAUCCCUAAUUUUGUCCCUGAAAUUCCAGGGAAUGGGAAUGCAGCUUACACAGCAACCCUGGACUCUGAGAGUUGUUGUGAGGAAUAUAGAGGAGGAAACACGUUGCUGCUACUUGAAGCCCCUUAGAGAUACAAUGGGACAAAUAUGCAAUAUAAAAAUCAUAAUAGAUUGUUGUUUCUUACUCAUGGCUUUUGCUCAAGAAUACAAAGUGCAGUGCUGAACUUGAUAAGUUAACAAGAGGGGCAAGCAAAAUGUAUAUGUCCAUAGUUCGUUAUAAUAUACUUGAAUUGUAACCCUCUUUAGCUAUUCUCUAAGAAUUCAGUUCAAGCUAAAUCGUUGUUGUGCUGUCGCUUUUAGCAGGGUGUUAACAAGAGGGGCAAGCAAAAUGUAUAUAUCCAUAGUUCAUUAUGAUAUACUUGAAUCGUAACCCUCUUAAUUAACUAUUCUCUAAGAAUGCAGUUCUAGCUAAAUCGUUGUUGUGCUGUCACUUUUAGCAGCGGGACAUUAGUUGAAACUAGGAUGUAGAACGAUGCCAAUGGAUGGGUACUGAAUAAAGAUUACUUAUAGAAACA